CAUGAUUAUUAGAUUACACUGAUAUCGAAGGAACUAGACUCAGUUCCGAAAUAUCGCAUACUCGAAUCGACCUGACCGCGUAGCUCAGUUGGAAGAGCAUUGGGCUAGUAUUCCAAAGGUCGUAGGUUCGAAUCCCACCGUGGCCAGGCAUAUUUUUCAAGCCUGCCCGGUGUGGAUAUACACUCAGAGUAACAUCACACAAACAUCUUAUUCACCUGAGUACAUUACACCAACACAGCAGAGUAUAUUUGGGUUGAAAACUUUAUUAAAGAGUGGCACAGUAUGAUACCGUAUCUUGUAGAAAAUUAUUUAUGUCUAUAACUAUAGGCUGAUACACACGUAAAAAUCUCACAACUUGUCAACAAGAUGUGUUCGCAACAGGCUUGUAGCAAGCUUGUCAACAAGUUGUAACAAUACUGUUAUUUUAUCAAGUUGAUACAAGGUUGUCACUCGUAACUUGCUGACAAAUUGUUGAAUUGCAGGACGAUAACAAGUUGUUGGAACAACUUGUAACAAGUCUGACAAGCUGGGAACAAGCAGUGCGAACACAUCCUAUUAAAAAUUUGUUGGAACAGCAUUGCUACAAGUCUGCUGCAAGGUUUGUUACAACUUGUGCGUUUUUACGUGUAUACACGGAAGUUUAACUAAAUCAUUUUACAGUUUCUUACGAAUUAAAUGGAUAAAAGGACAGCAUUCAAUUGUGUGUAAGAUUUAAAAUGUAUUUGCAGAGGUAAUUAAUACUUACCUAAAAUUUAGAAUAAC